ensembl:lncRNA
GCAAGUAUCCACAUAAACACCACCCAGAAUAACUGGUGCCCCCAUGGAGUCCAUAGUGCUGGCUCUCCUUGGACCCCAACUCCCACACACUGAGCAUCAGGCCCCCCAGAUUUAAGGGAACACAGAGACCAGGGAUGAAGGCUUUGGAACCUAGAAUUUCCCACCAGGGUAGCCCCAGGCUUGACCGCAACUCCUGUUCUGGUGAGUUGGAGGAACAGAAAGCACACCCGUUUCCCCUUUCUGGGAGGGGGGGUUUCCGAAACAGCCUCCCCAGGGGGAGUCUUGGCUGGCGGGGUGGGGGUGUCCCCAGUGAAAGUCCGGGAGAAAUGUGCGUUCCCGCAUCCCUGCUAAAAAUAACCCCAGGCAGCAGUGCCAGCACCACCGAGCAGCAGAAAGGACGGAAUCAGGUUUUGCUUUAAACCAGCAGUUGUGUCGAGGGAGGGGUAGGGGGAGACAGGCUAGGGGUCUGAGACCCCUGGCAGGACUCUGCCUGCUCCCAGCCCCCAGUUCCAGCUGGUCCUCUCAAGGAUGCCUGGGGGGGUGUUGUGGGGGGCGGGGUGACAGGGCCUCCCCGCAGGGCAGAAAGCCCGGGAAGGCUGGGGAUGCAUGGGGAGGGGUCUCUGUCCUGCUAACUGGAGCGUGCAGGCUGAAGGGUCAGAAGUCACGUACUUCACGGGGUCCCCACCUCCUUCAAAAAGGACUCUGUCCCAGCCGCCCACGCCAGGCUCCCUCUGCCGCCCCUGCCCUCCUGCAGCGGGGCCACCCGCCCCCCACCCCCCGGGAGGGGGGCUCCUGGCACACACAGGGCUGAGGAUGGCCACUUCACUGUCCCCAGCUCUGUCUGGCUUGCGCUCUGCCCAAAGAGACCGGGAGGUGUUCAAGGGCGGGUGCGGUCCAGAGGCGAGGAAUUUCCCUGGAAACGGGAAGUACAAGAUGUGUCAGUAUGGGAUCCCAGCACGAGAAGCCGGCGGCUGGGCAAAGGGAAGAGGCCCUCCCGGCUGUCCUCUGCCCCCGCAGCGCCCAGGCCCUGCACGUGCGUCAGAGGCCUGCACAUGGUGACAGGACCAUUCUCCUGCGACCCCAGUUUUAAGAACAACCACAAGUGGAAUGUGUACCCUGCUCCAGGCACUGUACUGACCGUACAUAGAUGACCUCAUUCAAUCCUCAGUUGGCAAGCCUAUGCCAUUGGGAUUCUUACUCUCCCUGUUUGCUGAUGAUGAAACUGAGGCUUAGGGGGAUGAUACGCCCAUUCUCGGCUGUUGCUGGUAGAACGCAGAGACAGGGCUUGAAGUCAUGAUCUGGGACACAGAGAAGGUCCAGGGUGAAUGUCCAGAGAACAGUGAGGCAGAAUUUUGGAAACUGGAUGGUUCUAAAUAAUUUAGGACACUGGUUGUACACCAACAUGAUACUUUGGUAGAAAAAAAGAGCAGUGGAUUUAGAGCCCAAAUUUGGACUACCAGUUAGGAUACUGGCCAAGGAACUUAACCAUUCUGAUACCCAGUUUCCAUCUCUACAAAAUGAGUACAAUGAUCCUUGCAUAGAAUUGCCGGAGAGUAAUGAACCCAGCAUUUUUCUAAACCUGAAAGACACCAAGCUCCGUCAUGUUUCAGGCCCUUUGCAAGUGAUUUUUCCUAGGCCUAGAACCCUAAGUCCCCGCACGUUCACAUACUCGUUUGUUCUUGCCAUCUCGGUCUCAGCUCAAAGGUAACUGUCCUUACAGCAGCCUCCACUGACCACCCAACUCAGCCCAUCAUUUGCAGUUGCACCACUGUGCUUUGUUCUCUGCACUCAGCACGAUCUGAGAUUAUCUUUUUCAUUUACUUCUUUUGUUUUGUUUGUUUGUGGCCUAUCCUCCCUCCCCAGCUGCCAAAGAGGUAAAAUUUCUUGCAAGCUGGGACCUCAGUGGAGGGGGUCAAUGAUCCCUUCCCAGUGCUCAGAGCCGCAGGUGGCAAACAGGAGAACUUGUGAAACAUUUAUGAAUGAAUGAAUGAUUAUGCUUUGGAAACAGCAUUAUAUUGAAGUGUCUGCCUCUCUCUCAGGUCUUAUGGAGCCAAAGGGCAGUAAAUAUGGGUUAAUGGCGACUUGAGAGUAUUUCAGGCCUGGCCCCAGCCCAACCCUGGGGCUCCUAGGCUGUAGGGAGCCGUCAGGCUGCUUUGGUUUCUGGCUGCUCCAGGAUAAAGGUCAACUCUGGCUGAACAGGAGGUUCUGUACCAUCUGGGGCUGCCUGCCUCUGGCCACAUCUGCUCAGGUUCCCCAACCUGCACUCCAGGUUCAGGCCAGACCAAACAACUCAAAGUGUCCGCCAGAGAACCCAGGGCAGCUUCACGCCAUGUGCCUUUAUACACACUGUUCCUUCUACUUGGCACUCCCUGCACCCUUUCUCUGCCUGGCCAGCUCCUCUCAGGCUUGAAGACUGGCCUCCUCAGAAAAGCCCUUCCUGAGGCUUCUGGUCACACCCAGUCUCUGACUUCCCAGGGCAUUAUAGUAACUUGUUCAUAUGCAUCUUCCCAAGUAGCCUGGAGAUCUUUGGGGGCAGCACACUGUACCACUUGGGGGAUCUUAGUUCCCUGACCAGAGACUGAACCCAGACUCUCAGCAGUGAAAGCCUGGAGUCCUAACCACUAUACCACAAAGGAAUUCUCUUACCUGGAGAUUCCUUGAAGACAAUGACCAGCUUACGUGUCCCUAGGUUGAAGCAUAAGCACACAGUAGGUGCUUAAUAGAUGCUCCAGCACAGCUUUUGGACUUUAGAUCCUAGGCACUAACACAAUUCCUGGGCCACAGAGUAGGCAUUCAUUAAGUGCACACUGACGGCAUGAACCAGAGUAAUCUGACCCCUCUUCUCAAGUUGGAAGCAAAGCGAGGAGUGGGGGUGGGGGUAGAAAUGGAAGAUGCUUCCUUAAAAACAAGAUGGUGUCAAGGGCAGAGGGCACGGAGGACCUUAGGAAACUUCCCAGGAGAAGGGACAUACAGAACACAAAGGUAAAAAGCAAACACAGAUGGAUGGAGGCAUUUAAACAGGACUCUCAGUGAGCAAAGAGCGACAAAGAAGGAAGGAUAAAAGAGGAAGAAAGAACCGGCCUCAGAGGGGACAAAAUGUGCCUGUGAGAGCCGCAGAGGACAGGAAGCCAGAGCCCAGGCCAGGCCAGCUGACUACAGGAUGUCUGGGGCCCUUGCUUCAGCCCUGGGGUAGAUAAGGGUGGCAUGGGCAGCAUCCUAGGGUGAAAGGGCUGGAUGAAAGGUCACAUGUCACCAGGCUUGGGGACAUCUUGGGAAACUCUUUGUGUCUUAGGACAGGCUCAGUGUUAUGAAACAAUGCACCCCAGAUAUGAGAGUCACAAAUCUAAUUUCUUGCCCUUGAGUAAGCAACUGAGCUGUUCAUGCCUCAGUUUUCCCAUUAGGAAAAUGGGCACUAUUCUCCUUCCUUUAGAGGAUCAUGAAGAUCAUAGUGAGCAUAGCGAGUUGGGAAAUAUAAAUGAAAUGGACACACCCCAAGAUGGCCAGGGAUCUGACAUAAUGGUGGUGAUUUCUGCCAAAGCCCUGCUGUAAAUGUAAAUGGGUCCUUGGAGAGGCCAUGCCACCAUGUCACCAAGUACCACAUAAGUUCUGAGUUCAGAGUCCUGGAUCCAAGGUCUGGUUCUUAGUUUCCAGAGUGGUACAGUGAGAAAAAGUUUACUCCUAGGUGAGGGGCUGAGUGGGAGCUGGCAUGCCAGCCGAGAAAUGACUGAGGCUGCCCAUAGCCAGCAGGUCUGACCACUUACCUCCACCACUGAGUGUCCCCUGGGGCCUCUGCAUUUCAGCCUUUCCAAUGGGCUGAAAAUGUUUUUCCCGCUGUCAUACUAUACCUCCAGGCAUAUAUAGGCUCUUAGGAUGCAGAGUUCCUGGAAUCAUUUGAAGUGUGGGCGGAAUAGGACUCUGAGGCUUGAGAAAUGGAGGGUUUGUGAUUUAGAUACAGACCUAAGUCAUCUAGCAGGACACUCAGAAGUGCUGGCUUUGCUGUGAGACAGACCUAAAUGUGGAUCCCAGCUCUCUUACUUCUCUGAGCCUCAGUUUCCUUAACUGUCAAAGGCAGGUACAGAAGCACCCACCUCCUAGAGUCACUGUGAAGAGUAAAUGAGCUUGUGUAUAUAAACCCCUGAACCCAAUGCUUGGUCCCUAGGAGGCAAUGGACAUUAGUUCUUAUUGUGAAUAAUAACAUCAUGUGCUCUUGGGGGAGGAAGGCUAGAUCAUAAAUGUAUCGAUCUCUGAAUGUCAAACCCACUUUGAGGAGAUUAAAGUGGUCACAACUCAAAAAUCAUUUUGUCACAAAGUGUCAAAUUCCAUUUUGCAGCUUCUGUUAGGUAAGCUUGACUCCUAGGGUAGGGGGAGUGGGGGUAGAAUCCCCCCCCCCCCGCCACUCCCACCUCUGCCUUGUUCUGUAAUGGAUGCCUGGAGGAUCAAGGAUUAACAAGUCUGCCAAGGUUUUGGGGUGGGGGGUGGCAACUUAAAUAGAGCCUUCAGUUCACCUCUCUAGCUGGGCUCAAGCACACUGUUUAAGUGCUCAGAAAAAUAAGGGUGGCAAGGAGUGGUGGAGGGGGGUCAACCUCAAAGGCCCAGAGAAAAUUCAGACCCAGCUUGGAGUGUCCAUGGCCUUGGAGGCUGUUUUGGGCUGGCUGAUGGAGGGAGAAGGGGACUGACAGCUUCAACCUCCCAGAGUCCAACUUUCCUCCAGGGCUUGCUCAGCCCCCCACCCUUACCACCCAGAAGAGUGCAGAACCCCUGGUGAAUGGGGGAGCCCAGGUGGGAGGUGGGCAGAUGAGAGCAGGGGUGACAGGCAGCAGGAUGCCACGGCUGAAGAAGGAAGUAUAAAUAUAAAGCAACCAGUGUAGGACUGGACAGAGGCCAUAUGAAACACACGGUACAUUCCGGCCCCAGCGUAACAAACUGUACCAGCCUUUUUCAGAGCUGGGAGCACUGAGGGGAGGGAAGAGAGCAGAGGUUCCUUCGAGGUUGGCCCUGCCUCCUCCUCCCCCACUUCUCCCACAGCAGGGAAAGUCCCGAUGUUCCUUUUGCAACCACAGGAAACCUCCUAUCCCUGCUCACACUCUGUACCCAGUGUUCCUCUCAGCAGCUCCAGACUGGGAGGAAGCAACAAGGGGGGUAGGGGCUAGGGGAGGGGAGAGCCACAGCAGCCCAGGUCACAUCAGGGGAGGUGGCAAGCAUCCCUGGGACACUGACUCACAGAGUCACAGCCUGGAAAUGCCGCAAUGGAGGCACAGACGACGACGACGGAGAGGUGUAGGGAAGGAAGUGCCUGGCCCAAGGUCACACAGCCAGUUGUGCACUAGGGAGGGACCAGAGGGCAUCCAGAGCUGGGCAGUGCUGGGCAGCUCUCUUGGGUGUAGUAUGUAGGAGCGGCAGGCCAGGGAACAGGCAGUGCCUGGGGAGUGAGAGUGGGAAGCCCAGAUCCAAGGCUGCCUCUGAGCUCUUGUUGGCUCUGGGCACGUCUGGCUUGGGUCCCCUCCACUCUUCCCAAACCCAGCCCGCUCUCUUAAAUAUUAGAGAUAAUGCAUGGUGAAGUGCCUAGUGUGUAGGCGGGUCUGCGGUGAUGUAAACCAGACUGAGUCACCUCCACACCUUCUCUCUCCUCCUCCACACACACAGCUCAAAGCCUAGAGCCUUCGGGGAUCUUUCUCCCUUAUCACCGUCUCCUUCCCACUGAUUCCCUAUAGCUUUCACACAUUUGGUACUCACCACCUGCUGGCUUGGGUUAUUAUUUAACCUCACAUGCCAUGUGUUUGUCUCUUCAACUGGCCUGCAAACUGCCCAAGGGCAGGAAAUCAUUUCAAUACACCUAACAUUUAUUGAACAUCAACUCCAGUGCCAAGCUUGGCCUGUGGGGGAUGAGCUCAAGCCAUGGGAGAAGGCUCAGAGAAGCAGACUUUGUUUCUGCCUCAAGGACUUUCUAAUCUGGUUAGAAGAACAGGAUUAGUAAACAGAUCACUAGAAUAUGAGACAGGCCACAUGCUGUGCCCUGAGAAAGGUACAGACUGAGUGUGCUGGGCUUUCAGAGGAGAGAGGAAUCAGAUUUGGCCGGCACUGUUCCAAACAGGCUUUAUGAGCUGGAGCUUGAGAGGAACCUUUAGGCCAAGCGCUCAGGGACCUCCUUCUGCAGAAGGAUGGCCUGCGGUCAGCGACGACUCAACUCUCUCGGAGGCUCCCUCGAGCGGGAGGAGCGAGCUUACGGCCUACUCGCGGCUCCCUCCCCUGCUUGUCGCUCUGGACCUCCACGUGGCCGGUUCGCGCAGCCCUCUGCCUUCUCGCCCCUCCAUUCUAGCGUUUCGCGCCGCCCCCCACGCCCCGGCCGGACCUGAAUGGGCUCUGCCCACUCGGGAGAGGCAUUCACCUCACCCAGCCCGGCAGGUGUGGCCCGCCAGACAAGUUGAUCGUCCCCUUCUCCCACCACUCUGGGAGGCCUCUGGAGGUCUUGGCAUGGUGGGGGGUCGUAACUGUUAGUUGCAGAUGGAAGUAGAAAUUUGGUCUAGAGUGGAGGGGAGCAGAAGACGACGCUGGGAGAGAUGGGAUGGAUGCAGGGCAAGGAAGUCUUCUCCAUCUCUGUCCUCGGUUGACCCAGAGUUCAGAGUCUCUUCCUGUCCCCUCCCCUCAAAACCACUAGGCCCCUGAAGAUUACCCCGCAGGGAAGAAGCAGGUGGGGAGGUGCUUUGAAGCCUGAGACCCCGCUUUUCUGCCUUACCCACCCUCCCACCCAAAGCCACAACAAAGACUCACGAAUCCUGCCACCCAGCCACAAGGCUUCUCCUUCCUCCUCUGGGCCUCUGUCCCCUCGGGUCUGGUGGGGCCAUUGUGAGGAUGACAGCCGCAGGGCGGGAGCUCAGAUGUCUGCCCAAACCAGGACUCUUCCUGGGGGGUGGGGACCUUUCCUACACCCCAGUCUCCUGGGGUGUCUGCAAGGUUUCCACCCCCCACCCCCACCCCACAUCCCGGGACACAGUGUACCUGGAGUGUGCCAGGGCAGGCAGGGAGGGGCUCCAUCCUCUGCCAAGUUCCAGGAAAUGCCCUGGCAGUCAGCACAGUCCUGGGCUCCAGGGCCUUCCAAGGUGGGGCGGGGGGUGGGUGGGGCAGGAUCCUAGGCUGCUGACAUGCCUCACCUGGGCCUCAACCCCCACUUCCCAGGCAUCUCGGGCACCUUUUGUAGCCAAAGUUGAGACGAUGGGUGCCAACCAUCUUCCCACACAUACAGGCGUCCUUCCCACACAUGUGCUUACCCAGCCAACGCUCACCAAAUCCCUCAGUCAGGAGCCACUUUCACUGUGUCGACUCCAGCCUUCUACCUGAUGGAUAAAAUCUUUCCACAGUAUCCCAGGCCAAUGUUCUGAAGCUGUUUGCAUACCCACAGUGACGAGGACACUCUUUUACGAGGCAGCCACAACUCUUUAGGAUGUCCCUGUGUCCAAGUCCAAUCGCCUAGAGGAUACCUGCCCUCACAUGGCCCAGGAGGGACGGAACUCACCCUCAGGUCCCUCACACCAGCUCCUCCUCCUUGCCUGCAGUAACCUUCCUACUGCCCAAACUCACCAUGAAGGAGGAUUAAUUCUUAACUCUUGGGCCUUCCCUGAUGGACCUGGUUACGAAUCUGUCUUGCAAUCCAAGGGAUGCCAGUUCGAUCCCUGGUCUGGAAAGAUCCCACAUGCAAUGGAGCAACAAAGUCUGUGUACCACAACUGCUGACCCCACACUUAAGAGCCCUUGAGCCACAACUACUAAAGCCCGUGCACCCAGAGCCCAUGUGCUCUAUAGCAAGAGAAGCCACUGCAAUGAGAAACCCGUGCACUGCAACUAGAGAGCAGCCCCCACUGGCUGCAUCUCGAGAAAGCCUGUGUUCAGCAAUGAAGACCCAGUGCAGGCAAAAAUAAAAAUCUAAAAAAAAAUUAACUUAAAAAUUUCUUAACUGUUUUCUCUCCUUCACCAUCUAUUACCAAAUUCUUCCCACUCCUGCUUUUAUUACAAGGUGUAUUGUUACUUUCCUCACGCCUUCCUUUCCAAUACCAUAGAUUCCACCUUUGGCCCAAAUUCCCACAGUCACUGCCACACUGUCCUUUCUGACCCAGGUUUUUCCUUCCUCCUACACACCCUGCUGGAAUAAUCUUUCUCAAACACUGUUUAUUGUGUAUGUUAUCAACUUCAGAUUCUUCAAGCACACUGGGUACACCAGCUACUAAUCUGUGUGUUCCAUACGAAGGGGCCCACAUUCAUUCAUGGUGCGCCCAAACCACAGAAUCCAGCACAAGGCCUGGUGCGUGGUAGGAAGGCAUCCAGUGUUCCCCGAGUGUCCAGUCCAUUGGGUUGUGCCUCUUUUCUCCUCACAGUUCUCUUUCCUGGCUUGGUCUCCUUGUCAGAAUCAAGCCUUUUGCUUUCCUGAUGCUCAUGCAGGCCCUUUUGUUUUGAGCAGCCCUGGUUUUUAAAUUUCCCAGAAUCUUUGGGGUAGGGGUGGGGAAUGAGAAGAGAGAAGCUGACAUCCAAAUUAACAUUAGAGUGAGUGAAGUCGCUCAGUCCUGUCUGACUCUUUGCGACCCCAUGAACUACCAGGCUCCUCCAUCCAUGGAAUUUUCCAGGCAAGAACACUGGAGUGGGUUGCUAUUUCCUUCUUCAGGGGAUCUUCCCCACCCAAGGAUCCAACCCGGGUCUCCCACACUGUAGGCAGAUGCUUUACCGUCGGAGCUACCAAGGUUGUGCCAAAUACCAACUCUAAAGUACUGGAGUGCUGAAUGGAAUGAUUCUAGCUGCCUGCCUGGAGCCUGUGCUCCAGCAAGGAACAGAAAAACCACUGAGGAGGGUGGAGGGCAGAAAAGAGUGCAAGCAGUGGCUUUGGGGUUUACAGAGGGAUCUUGCCAUUGGAGAGUCCAGCCUGCUUCGCUCUGGGUCGCUGGUCUGAUGCCCUUAAGUUGUUCUCUUUCUUGGCACCACAUCACACACAAACACACAAACACACAGACCC